GGUGCACCUGCGGAAGGAUCAUUAACACGUAUCCAACGUUAAACCCCCCUGUGAACCUUUAGUGUGCUCGCUCAUUCUGUAGGCAAUCCCUGUUAAAUCGUUCUGCGAAGUGUGUUGCUUGUAGCGCGAGGCAAGUGGCCUGGCAUUCCUCUGCUUGUUAGUGUCUGAAAGUGUCACUGGCUCUGUAAGAAUGGCGCAGUCACGAUCGGCCGGCGACCGGGUCACCGGGCUCACGCCCGCUAAUCACCUUUGCAUGAAAACGGGCCUGCGCUUAAUUGUGCGGCCAUAAACCGAACAACUGUUAACAAUGGAUAUCUUGGUUCUC
rnacentral:misc_RNA from 1 species